CUUGCUGGAACAUGCUCAGUCUAGGGCCUGAUUUACGACCAGGCCCAUUGGCGGGGUGAACAUUUCCCCCAUUUCUGAAACAGGAAACAACCCCCUGGACAGGGCAGGGAAAACAGACCAGAGUGCUGGAGCCUGAACCCACUACCCAGAGACUGCAGAGCAAUACAAAGGGAAGGUGCUGGGAUUCCUGUCCCUGUCCCCUGUGCGGAGCUCUGCUUCCCACAUCAGCCUGUGCCUAGUAGGUGGGUGGUAAAUGAGAAGACCCUGCCCUCCUCCAUCUGCUGGGAGGGACAAAGAACUCUCACCACCUCUCUGUUCCCUGAGGAUUCCUGGCCACUCUGAGCACAGUGGGGUGGGAUUUUGCUCCACUGGCCCUCCCAGAGCUGUCCUAUAUUUAUGCUUCUUCCCCCAUGAAUAGUGGGAUUGUGACUGGGGCAGCAGGUACUGAGUGGGGAGCACCUGUUGUUUCAGAUGCCGGUGACAUUCGAGGAAGUGGCUGUGUAUUUCACUGAGGGGCAGGGGGCUCUGCUGGACCCCAGUCAGAGAGCCCUCUACAGGGACGUCAUGCAGGAGAAUUAUGAGACUGUGACCUCACUGGGACUCCCCAUUCCCAAACCUGACCUAGUCACCCGGCUAGAAGCAGGGGAAGAGCCAUGGCUCCCGGAUUUCCAGGCCUCCGAGGAAAGGAAGCUCCCAAGAGGUACUGGCACAGCAGGUGACAAGACAAAGAGUGAGAACGAGGAGGGGGAUCCACAGCAGAAAUGUCCUGAGCAAGUGGAGCUGCAGGGGACAUUUUUGAGAAGAGCUGAAGAGAAUUUUUCCCAGUGCUUGGAACAGAGUAAAGCCUGGAGUAAUUGGCACAGGUCAGAGAGGAAGUUGGGAAACUGCCAAAGGAAGAAAGUGGAUGAAUCAAUUGAAUGUGGGGGGGCGGGCAGGGAUCCCAAGGAAAUCACAGCCCAGCAGACAAAUCACAAGGAAAAUAAACCCUAUAAAUGCUUGGACUGUGGGAAAAGUUUCAGUCGGCGCUCCGUCCUUAUUAACCAUGAGAGAAUCCACACGGGAGAGAGACUGUAUAAAUGCUUGGACUGUGGGAAAAGCUUCAGUCAGUGCUCAGGCCUUAUUAACCAUAGGAGAAUCCACACAGGAGAGAGACCCUAUAAAUGCUUGGACUGUGGGAAAAGCUUCAGUCAGCACUCAGGCCUUAUUAACCAUGGUAAAAUCCACACUGGAGAGAGACCCUAUAAAUGCUUGGACUGUGGGAAAAGCUUCGAUCGGAGCUCAAAUCUUACUACCCAUCGGAGAGUGCACACAGGAGAGAGACCGUAUAAAUGCCUUGAGUGUGGGAAAAGUUUUAGUCAGCUCUCAGGCCUUAUUAGCCAUGGGAGAAACCACACGGGGGAGAGACCAUAUAAAUGCCUUGAGUGUGGGAAAAGUUUUGGUGUACCAUCUUCCCUUAUUAUACAUCAGAGGACCCACACGGGAGAGAAACCCUAUAAAUGUUUGGAGUGUGGGAAAAGCUUCAGUCAGCGCUCACGCCUUAUUAGCCAUGAGAUAAUCCACACGGGAGAGGGACCAUAUAAAUGCCUUGAGUGUGGGAAAAGUUUCAGUGCACCAUCAGUCCUUAUUAUACAUCAGAGGACCCACACGGGAGAGAAACCCUAUAAAUGCUUGGACUGUGGGAAAAGCUUCAGUCAGCGCUCAGUCCUCAUUACUCAUAGGAGAAUCCAUACAGGAGAGGGACCAUAUAAAUGUCUCGAGUGUGGGAAAAGUUUCAGUGUACCAUCAGCCCUUCUCAUACAUCAGAGGACCCACACGGGAGAGAAACCCUAUAAAUGCUUGGUCUGUGGAAAAAGCUUCAGUCGGAGCUCACAUCUCAUUAGCCAUGGGAGAAUCCACACUGGAGAGGGACCAUAUAAAUGCUUGGACUGUGGGAAAAGCUUCAGUCAGCGCUCAGUCCUUAUUAACCAUGGGAGAAUACACACAGGAGACGGACCAUAUAAAUGCCUUGAGUGUGGGAAAAGUUUCAGUGUACCAUCAGCCCUUCUUAUACACCAGAGAACCCACACGGGAGAGAAACCCUAUAAAUGUUUGGAGUGUGGGAAGAGCUUCAGUCAGCGCUCAGGCCUUAUUAGCCAUGGGAGAAUCCACACAGAAGAAAGACCCUAUAAAUGCUUGGACUGUGGAAAAAGCUUCAAACGGAGCUCAAAUCUUAUUAUUCAUCGGAGAUUGCACACAGGAGAGAGACCCUAUAAAUGCUUAGACUGUGGGAAAAGCUUCAGUCAACGCUCGGGCCUUAUUAGCCAUGGGAGAAUCCAUACGGGAGAAAGACCCUAUAAAUGCUCAGACUGUGGGAAAAGCUUCAGUCAGCGCUCAGUCCUUAUUAACCAUUUGAGAACACACACAGGAGAGAGACCCUAUAAAUGCUCGGACUGUGGGAAAAGCUUCAAUCGGAGCUCAAAUCUUAUUACCCAUCGGAGAUUGCACACAGGAUAGAGACUGUAAAAAUACCUUGAGUGUGGGAAAAACUUUGGUGAGAGCUCAAAACAUCAGGACAGAAAUCAUAUAAGUGCCUCCACUGUGGGGUAAGUUUCAUUCAAAGAUCAAACCUUGCUUCAUAUCAGAUACUCUACACAAGAGAGAAACCCCAUAAGUGCUUGAAUGAUGGGAAAAGCUUCAAUAACUGCAGGAAAAAAUUCAGUCUGAGCUCACACAUUAUUCCACAUUCGAUAAUUCACAGAAGAAAGACCUUGAAUGUGAUGGAAGCUUCAUUUGGUGCUCACACCAGAGACUUCUCCAUAUAGGAGAUAAAUUCUCUCACUGCCCUGACUAGGGCUGGCCUUAGUAAAAACUCCAUUUCCCAAUUCCCACACCCCUCAGUGGCAUGUGGCUCCCAGGUAUCCAGCUGCCCCUGCCUGGGGGCAGGUUCCAGCAGCAGCUGACCCUGAGCUGUUCAGGGACCCCCUGGCUUUGCCUUGUUUAAGCAAACCCCAGGCAGAGGAGGUGAAGUACCAAUCAGCCCCUGCUGCAGCCCUGGCUGCUGAACUGAUGGGCCUUCCUGCCUCCUGCUAACCUGCUGGGGGAAGGGAGAGAGAAACUCCUAUAGAAGAUCCCUCUGCCUGGAUGAAGUUCCCCCAUCUCUCUUCCCUUCCAGAUGUGAUGCCCCUUCCAUGGAGAUGAGGGGAGGGAUACUUGGGCCAGGCCCCACAUUCACGCUGGACACCUGUCCCCAUUUUCCAGCAGUCCCUGGGCUGGACUUCCCCACUUACCUGGAGUUGGUCCCUGCGGGGGGUUGGCAACCUAUGGCACACGUGCUGAUUUUCAGUGGCACUCUGCUGCCGGCCUGGGGUUCCGUCCACCGGCCCCCUGCCAGCUGGGGUCCCAGCUGUCAGCCCUGCUCAGCCCGCUGCUGGCUGGGACCUUGGCCGGCAGCCCCGCUCGGCCCACUGCCAGUCUGGGGUUCUGACCACCGGCCCCUGUAAAUGUAAAAUGUAUUACUGGCUCGCAAAACCUUCAAUUACAGUGAAUAAAUGAAGACUUGGCACACCACUUCUGGAAGGUUGUGACCCCUGUUCUAUUGAUUCAGAAAUUAAAAGGGAAUUUUAACAUUUUGAUGAAGCUUGGGUGUAACAAUAUCAUUGUCUAUAUUUCUCUUUGAAAUCUGUAGGAAUCUGUCUAUGAACUGCUUAAUGGAUAAUUACUUUAGGCUGAUGAAUGCAACUAGUUAUCUGUGUAUACAUAAAAAAUAGGAGGUUUUACUCCAAAGCCACAAUGCUUCACCCAAGGAACACCUGCUGUCAAGAGGCUGCCAGAGAACUAUAAAAGGAACUCUUGGGCCCUGAUCCUCUUAUCUCAGAUCUGCUUAAGCUUUGUCAGGGGAAGUUUGAGUCUCAAGACUGAGGUCUCCAGCUCCAGUCUGGAUCAUCCUGACAUUAGUUCCACAGGUUAUAGUCCAAUUCUAAAAAGAACUUUUUGCAGCUCUGAAGCUCACCAUCUCUACUAUGAAACUGACCUUAAAACUCUAUUCAUAUCUGUAUAUAUAGUGAUUUUUUAACCUAUAUACUCUUUUUUAAAAAAAAUAAAUUUUAGUUUAGAUAAUAAGAAUUGGGUGUAAGCGUGUAUUUGGGUAAGAUCUGAAAUAUUCUUUAUCCUUGUGGGUGAUGUGUCCAAUCCUUUGGGAUUGGUAGAACUUUUUAUAUGAUGAACAAGAUUUUUAGUAAUCCUCAUCGUAUUUGACUUGGAUGUCUGGGUAGGAGCUGGGUUGCUUUAAGGGAACUGUAUUUCUGGCUUCUGGGUAACCAGGAAGGUAUUGUAGAUGUUGUUGGCUUGGUGAAUCUAAGUAUUAGAAUAGCCACCUGUUUGGGGGAUUGUCUACUCCAAUCUUUGCAGUUUGCCCUGAUUAAGCAAUCUCAGUGUUGCCCCCCUGAGACUCUGGUGGCAGCUUUGUUGACAAUAAACCUGGCUGAGCACCUUCACCACUGAACCAAGUCUGUGGUCUUUCUGGGCAGUACUAUCGAGGUCUGCUGGGUCAGUUACCUGUGCAGAGCUGGAGAGUACACACCCACAAGCCAAAUGACAACAGCAAAUAAUCACUGAAAAUAUGUUGCUAGUAAUUUCAGCAAUCACAUCUCAGUUUACAGCACUUCCUGGCUUGCACAUUUUCAUUCAUUUUCAUAACAUUCAUUUUCAUUUCUAAUAUUUUUAUAUUUACACAAGUUCAUUCUUUGAGUUUAUAUGACAUCAAGGAUGACAGAUCACCUGUAUUGGUGUCAAAACUUUGCAUGUUUCCUUUAAACCACCAAUGAGGAUUGCCUUGUUAUUUUGCCUCUUGAUCCAGCACACUAGUGCUUUUUCACACAUUGCCAUUUGUGAAUAGAACUUGAUUCCCAAAUAUUCACCAUAGGCCAGAUUUUUAAAGGUUGAAUGCACUUAGAUGCUUUUGAAAAUCCCACUAGUCACCUAAAUACCUUUAAAAAUCUUGCCCUAUGGGCACAGGACUAUAUUGUAGGAAAUCUCUCAAAGGCAAAUAUCUACUGAAAGUUUUGCUAAACAUAGCUAUACAGCCCCCAAGAUAGAUUAACCACAGUUAUGAAAUUUAAAAAACAACCCCCCUCCCCAAACUACUAAAUACAUUAUGGGUUCUUGUUAUUUGCCUUUUUUGUUCCUGGGCCUUUAGAGGGCACUCCUUUCAUACUUCUGCUGUUAUCUCUGCCAAAGAAUCCAUCUGUAUAAAAUGGCUGUACAUUUCAAUACCGUUUUGGACUCCAGUAAUGUGCCAACCCUUUCUAGCUGAAAAUGUAUUAAAAAUCCUUAAUCCCCAAUCCUGCAAACACUGAAGUACACACUUAACUCUUCUAUUCAUUUAUGUAUGCAACAAAUGAAGUAAGGUUUUUUUUUCCUACUGGAAUGUUUAUACUUCUAAUUGCAUAUUUUAAUUCCAUAGCCUUUUAUGUGUGCUAUUUAUUUUAUUAUGACACACUUCAGUGAUAUUCUUCAUUCUGACAGGUUUACAGUCAAAACCAAACAUUUUUAAAAAUGAAUUAUCCUGUUCCUCUUUUGCACUUUGGGGGCAGGGAGGCAGCAGGAACAUAGUAUUGACCUUACUUAAGUGCUUUGUCUCCACUAUGUUUUUUAUGCUGGGAUAGCUAAUACAUGUUACUUAAAAUGUGUUUUUACUAUAUAUCAUAUCAUUGAGGACUCAGACUAUAAAGUUGACACAGAUGUUAAAUGCACCAUUGUUCAUGUCUUGACAACUCUGAUACUCCCUGUGUGGCUAACACUGCACCUUUGCUUUCAGAGUUAUUUGCAGCUGUCUGCAGCCCCCACAUUUGUGUGCAUGUUGUGUAAAGCCACUUAAAGUAUUUUAAACUAAAGGAAUUAACAGACGCCCCCAUUUCCCUUAUAACUUUCCCUUUAUUUAUUAAGGGCUUCUCUACAGGGUGUGACACUAAAGGUGUUGGCCUGGGUAGAAAAGCCUUUACAAUAUUUCACAGGUAUCGAUUUUGGCCUGGUAAAAUAUCAAUAAAUGGUUCAAGGUUAAAAUUUAAGGUGACCUUGCUCCUUCUUUCUGCCCUGUGCUGAUCAGAACAUCUUUCAUGAGCAGGAGAAUGAAGGCCUCGUAGUGUCAUGGUAGAUCCUAUUGUGCACACUGUGGGUGUUGGCCUAGUGGUACAGUGAUUCACCUUAUGAGCAAUGUAUAGAAAGUGAUGGCACUCAUGUCCCAUUAGAAUUAACCAGAUGAUCCACAUUUUGAUGCUUUAAACUGUAAAGAUUCCAAUUUGAUCUCAGCCUCUACCUGCUCACUAACCACUUGAGAUAUAAACCUUCUGUUACUAUGUGCUCACAGGAAAAUUUAACUCUCAAACACAGCACCAGGCCCCAUCACUGUGAACUGGGCUGUGAAAUGUACCAGGACCGACAGAAGGAAAAACAGACAGACUCCCCUGGUACUAUCAUUAUAGUUCAGACCUUUUUGCCAGACAGAGAUUGCUGCUCCAGCUCCCUCUGUUUUCCUAGCUUGUAGCAACUUAAAUCAUCUCAGCACUAUGGAAACACCAAUCAGUUCCUGAGAGAUUGUGAAAGUCAAUGGGAGUCAGGCACCUUCCUGCCAGAUUCAUAGCUUUGUAAGGCUGCCCCUUCAUCCUCCCAAUCACCUUGUGCAGUGUGGGGGUAUUAAUCACCCUUUUCUGAGGGGCAGAAGUGGAGGUUAAUCCCAGGGGACAGAGACUGAAAGUCUCAUUGUGGAUCUCAAAUCACUGAGCUCUGUGUUGGUGCAGCACAGAGGGGUGGGGGAGACGGCUGUCCCUUGGGGGAUGUGGGGCCCCGAGACAUAGAUGCCUAGUUUCUAUCUGCCAGGCUAUACUCUCCCUGGCUCUGCCCAGGCCCCAUCCCAUGUCUUCCCUGCCCAGUUUGGCCCCUCCCCAGAGUGCCCUCGCUCCUCUCCCUUCCCACCCAGUGCCCCCAGACAUAGUGAAACAUAUGAUCAGCAGUAGGUGCUGGGAGGAAGGUGGGUAGGGUACAUCCCUCCUCCAUGCUCUCAUAUGGGUAUUUUAUUUGCUGUGGGUGGGUUUCACCCAGAGAGACAGUCUUAAAGAAAAAGUUUCUAGCCCUUGUGGCUGUGGAGAAAGCUUCAAAAUGUGACCCCAGUGCACCCUAAAGCUCCAAAAGUGGAAGGCAAAUAAAGAGAACCCCAAAGCUGUAAUUUUUACAUAAUUUCAUGAUUUUUAAAGCCAGUCUCAUGAUUUUUGGUGAACCUGAUUCAGGAUUUUUGAAUUUGGGGGGUUGGUAAUACCGGAGAAACUUCUCAGCAGUUCCAGGAGCCUUGCUUCUUCCUACUUUAGAGUUACAGUCACUGAGCUAUAUUGUCUGGGCUUGUGUUGUUCUGUCCCCUUGCCACACCACAGCCAUCCCUUGGGGGUGAGGGGGACACACAGGCUCUAGCUGCAGGCUGGGAAGAAGCACUGGUCCAGGCACAACCAGGGGAGACGCUGAAGAAGUUUACUCCAGGUUGAUGCUUUUCCCGAGUGGCUGCUGUUGUGCCCAGUCUGGCAGUGAUCUGGAUGCCUGCCCCUCCCUUGAACCCCCUGCCCCACCAGGCUCUGGCUAUCCCAUUGCUCAUGCUGCUACCCCAGGCUGGGUGGAUGCUCCCUCUCAGGGAUGGUUGCAGGGUCGGUGUGAUUCCUGCCCUACUGGGCACUGGGAAGGGCCAUGUCCCAGGCUAUGAGUUCUAGGCAUGGGGGAGGGAAGCAGAGGAGCUGCCCCUGGGCACCACAGACAGUGGCACUGGCCUGGAUUGCCCCUUUCCUCCACCUGCCCCUCUCCUUGAACUGCCCCCUUUGUCCUACCCAACUGUUAGAGGGGAUCCUGCCCCAUUCAUCUCUGUGGAUCCUCCACUCCCUGGAUCUCAGUGCUGGUGACCAGAUCUCAGAAGACAUUUAGGCACCUAGCGCCAUGGAAGCAAGGAGCCUAAAUACCUUUGAGGAUCUGGGCCUAUGUACCUGUUCACUUAUUCUCACCUCCCACUGUCUCAGUGUUAUGCCCCUGUAGCAUGCACCAAGCAUGGCUAUUCUAAACUUUUCACCUCAGUAUGAGCUUAACAUGCACUGAGCAUGCUAUUCCCUUCCCAGUCCUUGGCACAGAAUAUCAGUCUGUCAUGCUUUAGUGCAAUGAGCCUAGCCCAGCAGAGAGCUCCCUGCUCUCCACUGAUUUCUUUAGCUAAUGCUUAGGCCAGGUCUACACUUGAGCUAUAUCAAUAUAACGACAUCACUCACAAGUGUGAAAAAUCCACACCUCAGAAGUGAUGUAGUUAUACCAACCUAAUCGUCCGCGUAGACAGCGCUAUGUGGAUGAGAGAGCUUCUUGCCUUUUCGGUAGGUGGAUUAACUAUGCUGAUGGGAAAAGCUUUCUCAACAACAUAGUCUUCACUAAGGAGCUAGAGUAGCACAGCUGUAGUGCUGUACCUGAAGACAACUCAAACCCUUGGUGCCUUCCUUGGUUGGCUUUUUCCAGUACUGAGGUGAGGGAAGUCUCGGGAGUGGCCCCCUGGAGCCUAAAGAAGCAGGAGAGGAGCCCUGACAGGAGAUGCUGCUGCGGUUACAGCUAGUUACAGGGGCGGCUUCUUUGAACUGGACUCAGGGGGGUUGCAGCCACUGAAUUACACUGUGCAUGGAAACAUUCUGGCAGUGGUGUGGUCUGAAUUAGACACCUUGCUGCAAAUUAGCUUCCUCUGUCCCUGACUUUCCCUGGCAGCUGAAGGGUGUUUGCAGAGGGGAUUUGCUCUCUCUCUCUGUCCUCCCUUUGACACCAUGGGUUCUAUGCAUGAUGCUCCCCUUUAAUUCUGGGAGAGGCAAGUCCUAUGUGCAACCCUCCCACUCCUCACCACACCACAACCAGCACCGGUGAAAGUUCACCAGUCCGGUCUGGUCCGGCGUACUGGCAAGAGCCGGUACACAGCUGACCAUACCAGCAGGGGGCAGCUUCUUCAGGCUGUCAAUGUAAAAGGCCCUGGCCCUUUAAAUUGCCACCAGAACUCCAGGGUAGUGGCAGUGGCUGGGAGCCCCGGGGCUCUGGCAGUGACUUAAAGGGCCCGGGGCCCUGGCUGCUGCCGCAGCUAUGACUACCAUGGGACUCCAGUGGUGAUUUAAAUGGCCUGGAGCUCCUGGCUGCUGCCACCGCAACCGGAGCCCCAACUCUUUAAAUCACCACCAGAGCCCCAGGGCUCCCACCGUCACCGCUACCUUGGGGCUCCGACGGUGAUUUAAAGGGCCGGUGUUUCUCGGCUGCUGCUACCGCAGCCAGAGCCCCGGACCUUUAAAUAGCUGCUGGAGCCCCGGGGUAGUGGUGGUGAUUUAAAGGCCCCGUCCCUUCCUCCUGAGGCUCGCCUUCCAGUUGAGGGCCCCCCCCUUGCUCAGGACCCCGGCCCUGUGUAUUGGUAAGUCCCUUAAGUUACUUUCACCCUUGACAACCAGUCUUAGAGCCUGGGUGCAUGGGUGUUUGCAGGAUUUGGGCUGUGGGGCUGGAAAUAGCUUUGUAGACAUAGGCCUGGUCUACACUACACGUUUAUACCAAAUUUAGCAGCAUUAAACUGAAUUAACCCUGCACCCGUCCACACAA